rnacentral:rRNA from 1 species
GUGAGGAAUAUUGGUCAAUGGGCGAGAGCCUGAACCAGCCAAGUCGCGUGAAGGAAGAAGGUUCUAUGGAUUGUAAACUUCUUUUGUAAGGGAAUAAAAAAGAGUACGUGUACUCUAUUGUAUGUACUUUACGAAUAAGGAUCGGCUAACUCCGUGCCAGCAGCCGCGGUAAUACGGAGGAUCCGAGCGUUAUCCGGAUUUAUUGGGUUUAAAGGGUGCGUAGGCGGACUUAUAAGUCAGCGGUGAAAGUUUUCAGCUUAAAUGUAAAAUUGCCGUUGAAACUGUUAGGCUUGAGUGUAAAUGAGGUAGGCGGAAUGUGUUGUGUAGCGGUGAAAUGCUUAGAUAUAACACAGAACACCAAUUGCGAAGGCAGCUUACUGGGAUACAACUGACGCUGAGGCACGAAAGCGUGGGGAUCAAACAGGAUUAGAAACCCCGGUAGUCC